rnacentral:tRNA from 1 species
GGUGGCUCAGUGGUAGAGUGCUUGCCUUGCAUGCAUGAGGUCCUGAGUUCCAUUCCUCAGCACCA